AUUGAACGCUUGCGGCAGGCCUAACACAUGCAAGUCGAACGAGUAGCGGACGGGUGAGUAAUGUCUGGGAAACUGCCUGAUGGAGGGGGAUAACUACUGGAAACGGUAGCUAAUACCGCAUACCAUCUGAUGUGCCCAGAUGCGCUUAGCGAGUUGGUGGGGUAAAGGCUAACCAAGGCGACGAUCCCUAGCUGGUCUGAGAGGAUGACCAGCAACAUGGGAACUGAGACACGGUCCAGAGUCCUAAGGUAGGUAGCAGUGUGGAAGAUGGCACAAUGGGCUCAAGCCUGAUGCAGCGAUGCCGCGUGUAUGAGGAGUGCCUUCGGGUUGUAAAGAACUUACAGCGGGGAGGCGUUAACCGCAGAAGAAGCACCGGCUAACUCCGUGCCAGCAGCCGCGGUAAUAC
rnacentral:rRNA from 1 species